rnacentral:rRNA from 1 species
UAGGGAAUCUUCGGCAAUGGGGGCAACCCUGACCGAGCAACGCCGCGUGAGUGAAGAAGGUUUUCGGAUCGUAAAAGCUCUGUUGUAAGAGAAGAACGUGUGUGAGAGUGGAAAGUUCACACAGUGACGGUAACUUACCAGAAAGGGACGGCUAACUACGUGCCAA